rnacentral:rRNA from 1 species
UGAGGAAUAUUGGUCAAUGGGCGGUAGCCUGAACCAGCCAAGUAGCGUGAAGGAUGAAGGCUCUAUGGGUCGUAAACUUCUUUUAUAUGGGAAUAAAGUGCACCACGUGUGGUGUUUUGUAUGUACCAUAUGAAUAAGGAUCGGCUAACUCCGUGCCAGCAGCCGCGGUAAUACGGAGGAUCCGAGCGUUAUCCGGAUUUAUUGGGUUUAAAGGGAGCGUAGGCGGAUUGUUAAGUCAGUUGUGAAAGUUUGCGGCUCAACCGUAAAAUUGCAGUUGAUACUGGCAGUCUUGAGUACAGUAGAGGUAGGCGGAAUUCGUGGUGUAGCGGUGAAAUGCUUAGAUAUCACGAAGAACUCCGAUUGCGAAGGCAGCUUGCUGGACUGUAACUGACGCUGAUGCUCGAAAGUGUGGGUAUCAAACA